UGAGGAAUAUUGCACAAUGGGGGCAACCCUGAUGCAGCAACGCCGCGUGGACGAUGAAGGCUCUCGGGUCGUAAAGUCCUUUUCUGAGGGAAGAUAGUGACGGUACCUCAGGAAUAAGUCCCGGCUAACUACGUGCCAGCAGCCGCGGUAAAACGUAGGGGGCGAGCGUUAUCCGGAUUCAUUGGGCGUAAAGCGCGCGUAGGCGGCUCGGUAAGUUGUGCGUGAAAGCUCCCGGCUCAACUGGGAGAGGCCGUGCAAAACUGCCAAGCUAGAGGUUAGAAGAGGAGAGCAGAAUUCCCGGUGUAGUGGUGGAAUGCGUAGAUAUCGGGAGGAAUACCAGUGGCGAAGGCGGCUCUCUGGUCUAUACCUGACGCUGAGGUGCGAAAGCGUGGGGAGCGAACGGGAUUAGAUACCCCCGUAGUCC
rnacentral:rRNA from 1 species